UACGGGGGGUGCAAGCGUUAAUCGGAAUUACUGGGCGUAAAGCGCGCGUAGGUGGUUACGUCAGUCGGAUGUGAAAGCCCCGGGCUUAACCUGGGAAUUGCAUCCGAUACUGCGUAGCUAGAGUCUGGUAGAGGGUAGCGGAAUUCCAGGUGUAGCGGUGAAAUGCGUAGAUAUCUGGAGGAACAUCAGUGGCGAAGGCGGCUACCUGGACCAAGACUGACGCUGAGGUGCGAAAGCGUGGGGAGCAAACAGG
rnacentral:rRNA from 1 species